rnacentral:lncRNA from 1 species
AACCUUGCCCACCAGUCUAUCAGCCCCUCCCAUCCUGCUGUGCUCAGGCAUGCCCACCAAGAAGUCACCCCCUCCCUGCUGUAACAGCCUUCCCUGCCACAACUGUUCUUCCCUGUACUCUUCAAAUUAGCUAACUGCAUUCAGUUUAGACUGUGUGGUUCAACCCCAACCAAUAGGGGAAUGACACAUCAACUAAGGCCAAGUGCAUUAGGGAUUAAAAACCCCUGCUGUCUUUUGUCUGAUGAGCUCUUGCCAUUGCUCCAUCCACGAGACACAUGCUUCUGUAGAAGUAAAUUUGACUUUCUGAGAAAAUUUAUGUUCGACUGCUAUUUCUUUUGCAGCACAAAUAGUAUGUUUCUAACAAUUUGGUGGCCUGUACAAGGACCCCAUUCUCCUCCCAGAGGGUUUUCCAUCCUCUCCUGUGAGGACACAUGCCCCACUGCCUCAUUGCAGUAGCCUCAGGGGUAAGGAAUGGAGACCCCCCUAGUGUGAUGAAUAAACCCGGACUCUCAGCAACAUGGGAAGAAAAGACCUACAAAUACCGUGGUGACCAGAUAACUCUGUCCACAGACCAAGAACUAAAGGCCUUUUAGCACAGGCACCACCCCUGGAUUUCCCAGCACACCUGCAUCAACCUGGAGAUCACGUUUUCAUUAAGAGCUAGAGGGAAGCAAAACUCGAACCGGCUUUGGGAAGGACCCUUCCUAGUGCUUCUAACCACCAAGACCACAGUUGAAACAGCAAAGAGGAUGGACCCAUCACACCCGGGUCAAAAAAGCACCACCCCCUCCAGAAUCAUGGACAGUUAUUCCAGGGCCAACUCCAAACAAGCUAAAGCUAAAACGGGUUUAAUCCUCUUAUGUUGCAACUCUUUCUUUUCCCCUUCUAUUACUAGUCCUCUCAUGAUUAAUGUAACUAAGUCAAGUUCACCCCA